ACACACGUACUACAAUGGCCGGUACAAAGGGCGAGCCACUUAGCGAUAAGGAGCCAAUCCCGUAAAGCCGGUCUCAGUCCGGAUUGGAGUCUGCAACUCGACUCCAUGAAGUUGGAAUCGCUAGUAAUCGCAGAUCAGCACGCUGCGGUGAAUACGUUCCCGGGCCUU
rnacentral:rRNA from 1 species